GACGAACGCUGGCGGCGUGCCUAAUACAUGCAAGUCGAACGCUUCUUUCCUCCCGAGCGCUUGCACUCAAUUGGAAAGAGGAGUGGCGGACGGGUGAGUAACACGUGGGUAACCUACCCAUCAGAGGGGGAUAACACUUGGAAACAGGUGCUAAUACCGCAUAACAGUUUAUGCCGCAUGGCAUAAGAGUGAAAGGCGCUUUCGGGUGUCGCUGAUGGAUGGACCCGCGGUGCAUUAGCUAGUUGGUGAGGUAACGGCUCACCAAGGCCACGAUGCAUAGCCGACCUGAGAGGGUGAUCGGCCACACUGGGACUGAGACACGGCCCAGACUCCUACGGGAGGCAGCAGUAGGGAAUCUUCGGCAAUGGACGAAAGUCUGACCGAGCAACGCCGCGUGAGUGAAGAAGGUUUUCGGAUCGUAAAACUCUGUUGUUAGAGAAGAACAAGGACGUUAGUAACUGAACGUCCCCUGACGGUAUCUAACCAGAAAGCCACGGCUAACUACGUG
rnacentral:rRNA from 1 species